UCGAGCGAGGGGCUUUCGGGCGGAUCAGCGGCGCACGGGUGAGUAACACGUACGGAAUCUUUCUCCCAGUUGGGGACAACCUCGGGAAAACGGGGCUAAUCCCGCAUACGCCUAGUUGGGGCAACCUUACUAGGCAAAGGGCUUCGGUUCGCUGGGAGCCGAGCGUGCGGCCUAUCAGCUAGUUGGAUGGAGCGUAAAGGCCUACCAAGGAUCCGACGGGAGCCGACUGAGAGGUCGACCGGCACAUUGACUGAGACACGUCCACUCUUGGAGG
rnacentral:rRNA from 1 species